CCGCAAGGCGCGCGGCGCUGCGCCGCGCCGCACCGGCGGACGUUUGCCCGGCAGAGGCGCGCGGGACGGCCUCGAGGGUCAGCUGUUGGUUACCCCGCGGAGUGCCACGCGUCUGCUCUCGUGGUGCCCCGUUGUUGGGGGGGAGUGAGAAGGAGAAAGGCAGAGCAGAGAGCGCGCAACGCGGUCGCCGUGGCAACGCGGUUGAGUGGGCGUUUCGCCGAGCGUCGCCGUCAGAGGUAGUCGGCGAGCUCACGUCCACAUGGCGAAGCCGGCUUACCGUGCCCGAUCCGGAGCCCCGCGGUGCCCCCCGAAAUGGCAAUCGAUACAAAGAGCUCAAUAGCGCUAUCUGAUAGAGCACAUUCUGAGCUAAUAUUUUUCACUAUUUUUCAACGCAGUCACCACCAUUACCUACAUUUUCAUCAGCAAUGAGCAAAAGCCUGCAUGACUGGUAAAAAUGGAGAUGGAUUAUUGUUGCUGUCUCCACUCCUGAGAUGCACCACCGUUGCAUCACUGUGAUCACAUCCCCAUAAGAUUCAGAGGGCAUCUAUGAAUGUCAAUGGGUCCCAUUUUUUUUCACAUGGAGGAAUUCAAUGACACACUUUUUCUUCAUACACUCUUCCACAUCAGACGCCAUUCUGUCAGACUGUCCCACUGCUGCCAUCUGUUGCACAGCGACAAAAUGUAAGGGAAUAUUGGCAGGAAGGCUCAACCUCUGCUGCCAUACCACCCACAUCCACCUCUGAUGUACUGUGCCAAUGUAAUAAGAUAGGUUGCUUCUCAGGAAGCCCUUGUAGAUAUAUGCCUAUAGGUAGAUGUGACAUAUGCUGAUGUGAGUGGUGCAUGUUCAGGUCUUGGAGCUCCUGGGAAGCUCUCAGUUUUUUAACAACUUCGUUCUCACCUGGAAUCUGGGAGGUAACAAAAAAUAAGGUUGCACAUGGACAGUAAAGAUAAAAAUAUGAAGAUUAAGAUAUAUCUGCAUUAUAGCUGUAUUUCUCAUUCACAGGGCAUUUAACUCUUCCUCCAAAAAUAGAGGUUCUGUACUGUGGCAGUUUCUCUAGGAAGAGUGCACAAGAAAGACCUUACGUUAAAUGUGGACUUUUUCUUGCUAUGUUAUGUUCACUUAAUUAAGGGGAUUAUUGCACUUCUGCAAAUGAAUUAUAUCAUAGAAUCAUAGAACUGCUUGGGUUGGAAGGGCCCACCCAGUUCCUACAUGCUCCACUAUGGGUGUUGCCACCCACCAUAUCAGGCUGCCCAUGGCCCAUCCAGCCUGGCCUUGAACACCUUUAGGGAUGGGACGUCCACAGCUUCUCUGGGAAGCCUGUGUCAGUGCCUCAUCACUCUUUCUGAACAAUUUCCCCCUAACAUCUAGUCUAAAUCUCUUCUCUUCAUGGCACUCCUCUGUUCUCGCUCCAACAGCUUCAUGUCCUUGUGCUGAGGGCUCCAUUCCUGGACACAGUACUGCAGGUAGAGCCUCAAGAGCAAAGAGGGACAAUCACCUCCCUCAUGCUGCUGGCUAUCCCUUUUUUUUCACACAGCUCAGGAUACAGUUGGACUUCCAGGCUGUAAAUGCUCACUGCUAGCUCAUGUCAAGCUUCUCAUCCACCAGAAGAAUCAUAGAAUCAUUAAGGUUGGAAAGUACCUCCAGGAUCAUCUACUCCAGCCAUCAACCCAUCACUGCCAUGCCCACUAAACCAUGUCCCUCAGUGCUGCAUCUACCCUUUUCUUGAUGAUGACUCCACCACUUCCCCGGGCAGCCUGUUCCAAGGUGCUACCACUCUGUCUAAGAAGAAAUUCUUCCUAAUUUCUUUCUAAUCUAAACUGAACCUCCCGUGGUGCAACUUGAAGCCAUUACCUCUUGUCCUGUCACUAGCCACCUGGGAGAAGAGGCCUUAGUCCCACCUUUGUACAACCUCCUGUCAAGCAGUUGUGGAAAGCAAUAGGUUCUCACCUGAGCCUUCUCUUCGCCAGACUAAACAAUCCCAGUUUAUUCAGCUGCUCCUUGUAAGCCUUGUGCUCCAGAUCCCUCACCAACUUCAUUGUCCUUCUCUGUACAUGCUCCAGUGCCUCAGUGUCUGUCUUGUUAGUGAGGGGCCCAAAACUGAGCACACUACUCAAAGUGUGGCUUCACCAGUGCCAAGUACAGAGGUAUAAUCAUCUCCCUGUUCCUGCUGACUACAGGCCAGGAUGCCAUUGGUCUUCUUGGCCACCUGGGUACACUGCUGGUUCAUGUUCAGCCAGUUGUCAACUAACAUCCCCAUAUUCUUUUCUUCUAUACAAGUUUCCAGCCACUCUGCCCCAAACAUGGGGUGUUAUGUGUGGUUACUGUGGAUGAAGUGCAGGACUCAGCACUUGGCCAUGUUGAACCCAAUAUGAUUUUCCUUGUUUUUCAUCCCUGAGAACAAUUGUUCACAAAUGUAUGUACUGCCAGAAGUGGUAAUGUGAAUAAGGCAUGAUUAUAAAGUGAGGGAUGUUUUUCUCUGGUAAGAUAGUUCUUAUGGAAGUCUAAUAAAGAGGCAUGAUCAAAUUUUUGAGUUGAGUAUCUGAUUGCAGCUCUAUACCUUCCAUGUGAAAUUGUGCAUGUAAUGUGAUUAUGUCAACUGAAAAUGGAGUUGGAAAUUUACAAAAAAUGGAUUUUAUUCAGCAAUCUUAACCCUAUUCUCAAAUUAUUUUAACAAAAUGGAAAGUGCUGCAUAUUUUUCACUGUUCAUAGGGCUGUGUUUAGCCAGUGUAUCAAAAUAGAAUUAUUUGCCAGAACUUGAGUUACUACUCCAUUGUGCCCACCCCUGUGCCCUGGUUUCAGCCCAGACAGUGCCAGUCACACACUAACAUCUAGUUAUUGUUGAGCCAUGGGUACAUGCCUGGGGCUGGGCUGGCCCACUCGGCUGGGCAGAGCCACCAUCAUGCUGGUUCAGAACAGGGCGUGGCCACAGUACAGGCUGUGCCAGGCUUCGUGUAGCCCACAGGCCAUGGGAUGGACAUUCCUGGACUAAAUGAACUUCACAGACUACUUGGAGGGGUGCUCCACAGACUGUGGUAAUGAUAUGUGUGCGUAUAUCAAAAAGGAAAAAGGUGGUAGUAGUUAAUGGAGAUGUAUGACAAAGUAUGGAAUCUGAGCAGGAUGUAAAUGGUACAGAAUAAGGGGUGGAUAUCAUCCUGGUGUCUGCUGGGAUGGACUUGUUUUUUUCUUCAUAGUAUCUGGUGUGUUGCUAUGUUUUGGCUUUAGGGGAAAAAACAAUGUUGUUAACACACUGAUGUUUUAGUUGUUGCUGAGCUGUGCUGUUUGGAAUCAAAGCUCCAUCAGCUUCUCAGCUUCCUGUACUGUCCUGCCUGUGAGGGGAACUCAGGGAGUACGAGAAAUAGGGAGUGGACAGAACAAAGACUGAUGAUCUAAACUGGCCAUUCUGUAUGACAUCAUGCAAAAUAAACUUGAAAAAUAGUGGGGGGUUGGCUCUCAUUGGGUGGGAGCAAUUGCUGCUUGGGAACUAGCUGAGCAUCUAUCGGUGGGUGGUGAGCAAUUGCUUGUGCAUCACUUGUUUUGUAUAUACAUAUUAUUAUCCUAAUUAUUAUAAUUUUUUUCCUCUUCCUUUUCUGUUUUAGUAAAUAGUUUUUAUCUCAGUCCCUGAGUUCUACUUUGUGUUUUUUUUUCUAUUAUUUCUCAUCCCACUGAGAGUUGAGGGAGGGAGCCAACAUGUGUGUAAUACUUAGCUACAUUCCAGGUUAAGCCACAGUGAAUGGGGACCCACCAGAAUGCCUUGACAUCACAAUAAGGUGUGCCUCACAAUGCCUGGGUGAGCCCUGAAGCCUACAUGGCACCUGUGGGACUGCUGUGGGAAAGAAGAUCAACAACAGCCAUGAUUUGAUGAAGUGCAUCCAGAUCAUUCAACAUGCUAGAAACUGAUGUAGGUAAGAAGUUACUCUGCAAGUGGGGCUUCAUGCUGGGUCUGACUUUAGUGGAGGACUGCUUCUCUGAGGUGAAAGCAGCCAUUUCCACCAAAAAAAAAAAAAGAAAGAAAGAAAGAGAGAAA
ensembl:lncRNA